GAGGAAUAUUGGUCAAUGGGCGUAAGCCUGAACCAGCCAUCCCGCGUGAAGGAAGACGGCGCUAUGCGUUGUAAACUUCUUUUCCGGAGGAAUAAAAUUUCGUACGUGUACGGAACUGAAGGUACUCCGGGAAUAAGCAUCGGCUAACUCCGUGCCAGCAGCCGCGGUAAUACGGAGGGUGCAAGCGUUAUCCGGAUUUAUUGGGUUUAAAGGGUGCGUAGGCGGUUUGAUAAGUCAGCGGUGAAAUAUUUCAGCUUAACUGGAAGGGUGCCGUUGAUACUGUCGAGCUUGAAUUUAGUUGCUGUGGGUGGAAUGUGUGGUGUAGCGGUGAAAUGCAUAGAUAUCACACAGAAUAUCGAUUGCGAAGGCAGCUCACAAAGCUAAUAUUGACGCUGAUGCACGAAAGUGUGGGGAUCAAAC
rnacentral:rRNA from 1 species